UACGAAGGGGGCUAGCGUUGCUCGGAAUCACUGGGCGUAAAGCGCACGUAGGCGGCUUGUUAAGUCAGGGGUGAAAUCCUGGAGCUCAACUCCAGAACUGCCUUCGAUACUGGCGAUCUUGAGUCCGGAAGAGGUGAGUGGAACUCCUAGUGUAGAGGUGGAAUUCGUAGAUAUUAGGAAGAACACCAGUGGCGAAGGCGGCUCACUGGUCCGGUACUGACGCUGAGGUGCGAAAGCGUGGGGGAGCAAAACAGG
rnacentral:rRNA from 1 species